rnacentral:rRNA from 1 species
UGUCCCCUACGGGGGGCAGCAGUGGGGAAUAUUGCACAAUGGGGGAAACCCUAAUGCAGCAACGCCGCGUGAAGGAAGACGGUUUUCGGAUUGUAAACUUCUAUCAAUAGGGAAGAAAGAAAUGACGGUACCUAAAUAAGAAGCCCCGGCUAACUACGUGCCAGCAGCCGCGGUAAUACGUAGGGGGCAAGCGUUAUCCGGAUUUACUGGGUGUAAAGGGAGCGUAGACGGCAGGGCAAGUCUGGAGUGAAAGGCGGGGGCUCAACCCCCGGACUGCUCUGGAAACUGCCAGGCUGGAGUGCAGG